UAUUAUAAUAUAAAAUAUAUUAUAUACAAUCACCAUGUGAUAAAAGUUGUGAGGUGUUAUUAUUAUUGUAGUAUACUUCAGAAAAGUGAAAACUUGUGGUUAGCAAACAGAUAAGAUAACGAAAACAUUACCAGCUAGCACAGCAAACAAAGAGAAAAGUGAAACGAGUCGUGUGAGAAAAGUGACGACGACGACGAAAGCAAAUUGAUAGAAAACAAAGAAGAAAGCAAAUUGAUAGAAACCUGGAGUAGACGACGACGACGACGACAUGGAGAGACGACGGGAAGGAAGCAGACGGCGGCGCCGGAAAAGGUGCGGUGGAUGCACAGUGAGCAGCGAUAACAGGAUUAGAGAUGUGAACACAAAUGCUUCAAAUAAAUUGUGAUAAGAGCUUUGAAAGAAACUCCAAUGAGAUAUCAUCAAUGAGGAGCUGAUCAAUCUGUCUACUUCCAAUCAAUGAGUUUCCUCCUAGUUUGUUCUUAUCAUCCACUUUCAUCUUAUAGCAAUGAGAACAUGUCACUAUAUGUGCUGAAAAUAGCUUCAUUUAGAUAAUAUGAGAGUCACUUGAAUAAGGUGAAAAUAACUACAUCCAGGUAGACACAUACCAUCUCACAACCGAAAAAUGAUGAAUGGUGCAAUGGCUUGAUUAAACUGAAUCCAAUGCCAUAAACAAUACUACCAUAAACUACAGAGUGUACUUGUUUUGCAUAUCUUAAACAAACAAAGCUUUUGAGAUUGAUGAAAUGGUGGAUCAAGUGAGUAUUGAAUCAAUAUUAGGAGCUACAUCAUCAGCAACAUAUUCAGUGACUUCUUGAUUCAUAAUUUGAUUGGAGUCUAAAUCUACAUCCUUGAUUCAAUUUCUCUUCCAUCAUCUUGUUCUAAAUAACAAUUAUUCUAUGCAAUGAUGCCCAUAUUAGUCGAAAAUUGAAAGUUCAAAGUUUUAAAGAAUAGCAUAUACAAAUUUUAAGCACCAAGACAUAUAAAAUAGUUUGGUUAUGAUUGUCUUACAUCGAAUGAAUGUUGUUAAAAAACCAAGAACUAGUUGUAUACAUGUUGUCGAAGUAUAACAAUUCCGACCCCAAUAUUCACAUUGUGAUGUCCACUUAACUGAUU
rnacentral:lncRNA from 1 species